CGUAGGGGCAAGCGUUGUCCGGAUUUAUUGGGCGUAAAGCGCUCGCAGGUGGUUCGAUGCGUCGUGCGUGAAAGCCCCCGGCUCAACGUGGGGAGUGUCGUGCGAUACGGUCGGACUGGAGGCCAGUAGGGGGACGCGGAAUUCCGGGUGUAGUGGUGGAAUGCGUAGAGAUCCGGAGGAACACCAGCGGCGAAGGCGGCAUCCUGGACUGGUCCUGACACUCAGGAGCGAAAGCGUGGGGAGCGAUCCGGAUUAGAUACCCGGGUAGUCCACGCUGUAAACGAUGAGAACUAGGUGUCGGGGGUAUCGACCCCCUCGGUGCCGAAGCCAACGCGAUAAGUUCUCCGCCUGGGGACUACGGCCGCAAGGCUA
rnacentral:rRNA from 1 species